CCUACGGUGGGCAGCAGUGAGGAAUAUUGGUCAAUGGGCGCAAGCCUGAACCAGCCAAGUCGCGUGAGGGAUGACGGUCCUAUGGAUUGUAAACCUCUUUUGUCGGGGAGCAAGGCCCGCCACGUGUGGCUGGCAGGCGAGUACCCGCAGACAAAGCAUCGGCUAACUCCUUGCCAGCAGCCGCGGUAAUACGGAGGAUGCGAGCGUUAUCCGGUUUUAUUGGGUUUAAAGGGUGCGUAGGCGGAAGGUUAAGUCAGCGGUAAAAUGUCGGUGCUCAACACCGGCCUGCCGUUGAAACUGGUGUGCUUGAGUGAGCGAGAAGUAGGCGGAAUGCGUGGAGUAGCGGUGAAAUGCAUAGAUAUCACGCAGAACUCCGAUUGCGAAGGCAGCAUACCGGAGCGCAACUGACGCUGAGGCACGAAAGCGUGGGGAGCGAACAGGAUUAGAUACCCGGGUAGUC
rnacentral:rRNA from 1 species